rnacentral:misc_RNA from 1 species
GCUCAACCAAACUUGCAUAAAUACAUGGACAUUCUACAAAUUACAUUAUGACAUGAGGAAUCAUCAUCCUCUAAAGCCUCCCUUGCUGUGCUAAAUUUCACCUCUUCUCAAUUAGAUGGAGUAGCUACUGCAGCAGGAUAGAUCAUCAAGGCAAGCCCUUUGGAGACAAAUGUGGAAAAAGUCAACAAGAUUCUAAAGUUUUGGAUAGACCAAUAGGCUAGUAGAAAAUGCAAACUUCAUUUAUCUACUUGUUUAGGUGAAUAUAGCACGAUCUCCUCAUAAAUGCUCAAUGACCCCCAAUGAGUUUCAUCUUAUAUAUCUAAACAGGAAGCAAAUAGAAAUCCAACCACCAGCAAAACGCAACAUUCCCAGAGAAAAAGAAAACAAGUACAAAUAGAGCAAAUUCUAGAAGAUAAUUUGAACUUUCGAAGCAUCUUCAAGUUAAGAAUAUGAAUGCAGUAUGUGUUGUGACAUUAUACGCUGCCCAGCACCAAAAUUUUGAGACUUUUCCCUGCUUUCACAAAAAAAAGAAUGACAUAUAGGGUUAAUGUAUUUUCGUCUUCGAACAGAAGAAAAGGUUGAAAAACUGAUACAGCCUCACACCAUAUGCUUUGCCAACCUAGAAAUUCAAUACAUCAUUUGUCAACAUCUCAAAUCAGAUUUAAGAAAAAA